AUUGAACGCUGGCGGCAGGCCUAACACAUGCCGGUCGAGCGGAUGAAGGGAGCUUGCUCCUGGAUUCAGCGGCGGACGGGUGAGUAAUGCCUAGGAAUCUGCCUGGUAGUGGGGGAUAACGUCCGGAAACGGGCGCUAAUACCGCAUACGUCCUGAGGGAGAAAGUGGGGGAUCUUCGGACCUCACGCUAUCAGAUGAGCCUAGGUCGGAUUAGCUAGUUGGUGGGGUAAAGGCCUACCAAGGCGACGAUCCGUAACUGGUCUGAGAGGAUGAUCAGUCACACUGGAACUGAGACACGGUCCAGACUCCUACGGGAGGCAGCAGUGGGGAAUAUUGGACAAUGGGCGAAAGCCUGAUCCAGCCAUGCCGCGUGUGUGAAGAAGGUCUUCGGAUUGUAAAGCACUUUAAGUUGGGAGGAGGGGCAGUAAGUUAAUACCUUGCUGUUUUGACGUUACCAACAGAAUAAGCACCGGCUAACUUCGUG
rnacentral:rRNA from 1 species